AGCACAGAGAGCUUGCUCCUCGGGUGACGAGCGGCGGACGGGUGAGUAAUGUCUGGGAAACUGCCUGAUGGAGGGGGAUAACUACUGGAAACGGUAGCUAAUACCGCAUAACGUCGCAAGACCAAAGUGGGGGACCUUCGGGCCUCAUGCCAUCAGAUGUGCCCAGAUGGGAUUAGCUAGUAGGUGGGGUAACGGCUCACCUAGGCGACGAUCCCUAGCUGGUCUGAGAGGAUGACCAGCCACACUGGAACUGAGACACGGUCCAGACUCCUACGGGAGGCAGCAGUGGGGAAUAUUGCACAAUGGGCGCAAGCCUGAUGCAGCCAUGCCGCGUGUGUGAAGAAGGCCUUCGGGUUGUAAAGCACUUUCAGCGGGGAGGAAGGCGGUGAGGUUAAUAACCUCAUCGAUUGACGUUACCCGCAGAAGAAGCACCGGCUAACUCCGUGCCAGCAGCCGCGGUAAUACGGAGGGUGCAAGCGUUAAUCGGAAUUACUGGGCGUAAAGCGCACGCAGGCGGUCUGUCAAGUCGGAUGUGAAAUCCCCGGGCUCAACCUGGGAACUGCAUUCGAAACUGGCAGGCUAGAGUCUUGUAGAGGGGGGUAGAUUCCAGGUGUAGCGGUGAAAUGCGUAGAGAUCUGGAGGAAUACCGGUGGCGAAGGCG
rnacentral:rRNA from 1 species